GCAAAGCCCACAUAAAAACCACAUUCCACUGAUCCUGGGCAUCCUUUAUUUUUUGCAUAGGCAUAAAUUAGAAUCUGGAGAUUUAAAAAAAAAAAUUAAGAACCAACAGUGCAGCAUUUGUGACAGGAGAGUGCAGAGUAAGACCUGGUUGUCUUGGGGCAGGGACAGGGCUGAGCAGGGAGGGCCCAGUCCUCUAAGGCGAAGGGUACCAGCCUGCUCACAACCCCUCACUCCCUCCCCCUCCCCACAGGCUGGGACCAAGGAACUGAGAACCACCCAGUGCCCCAGAGAACGGGGCUAAGAAUCAAGCCCUUAGCUUUUCAGUUAAAAAACAGACCUUGAAAAAUAUACACAUAAUACAGCAGGGCCUGUGGGUCUAAAGCCCCUUUUCCUCUGGCUUCCUCUCAGCCCCCACCCAGCUGCCGCUGCAGAAGCCAGAAAGGAAACAGAAUCUGGGGGAGCUGAGAGCCCAGAGGGAGCCUGAGAAAGCCUUCUCUAGGUCCACUUAGCGGGUAGUGAGCCAACACAGACAGCCUUCCCUCCACUUGACACCCUGAAUGGCGCCGUCAUCACCGUAACUGACCAGGAGAGCCCAGGAAGUGCCCACUCCCCCAAUUCUAGCUAAUGGCCCCAGAUAGGACUGGGCACCCCACAGCCUGGGGAAUGUGAAGCUUGCUCUGGGUUACAGGGAGCCCCACUGCAGAACAGGGUACAGGGCGGCCCUCACCCUGGCAUCAGCAGAGGAAAAAGCAAAGGCUAUCCCAGCACAGGGAGUCCUACAGGUUGGCAUAGGCGGCAGCCCUCCGAUACCCUGGACAAAUACAGCUUCUAGAGAUCCUUGGGGUCUUAGAGGCCUGGCUUCUCCACGUCCCUGGCACCGGUCUUGCAGGGUCCUCUUGCCUGGGGACAGUCUCAGCCUGGAGGUGCUG